AACCCUUGGCACAGUCAUAGCUCUCAGGCACCUUGCUAGCCGAAGGUCAGGCAAAGGAGAACAAUAAGGGGGUAUGGAAAUACAGAUAACCCGCGACAGGCCAAACCAAAAUAUACAACAUUUAUUAUCAAAUUAUUAACAUCCCCUCUAGACCUGGCCUAUUUGAAUUGGUCCUUGUGUGCAACUUGGUGCAUAAUCUAGGGGAACAACAUCGCACUGCUACACAUGCGUUCCGUGUAGGCCUACAGUGUAAGUGUUUUAGCCGAUAAUUGCACAGCUAUUCCACUUGGUUGGAUAUGCCUUCUAUCACGUCCAUUCCUUCCCAAAUAUUGUCUUCUGUUGAGAAUGUGUGUAAAACAAAGGUAUUCACACUUUCCCGAUCCUCACCCCAAAACGGAUGACAGCCUUAAAAUGUCUCUACGUGUUAUCAGGAUUCUGUUCAUUCAGAUACACUUAAUUUUUGAAAUGAUCUUUCUCAAAAACGUUUGUAUAUUGUCAAAUACUAUAGCAUGUACUAUUCAUUUGUAUUUUUUUUUGUUAUUUGGUGACAUUAAUGCAGUUCCUCCAGCCCGACUUUGAAUACCACUGAUGUGUCCGUUUCAUUCAUUGUAAUGUACGUGCAAUUUUAUGAAAGAAGAAUUAGAGCUCAAUGAUCAAAUCGUGACCCGGUUUUUGUGUAGAAUGUGUGUUUUUUAGGCUAUUGUUUCUAAAAGUUAUUAUGUGGGAAAUUCCUUGAUACGUCGAGACUUGUAUGUCAUGUUAAAGUACACUGCUCUCUAAAAAAAAGAAAUGCUUAGUGUGAAACAAUGUCCCCCAGGAAAAGCCAAUCCGUUCUUAUAAAGAUCUGUGGAUGGUUGCUCAACAUUGUCGUCAUUUCCAGCAGCAGCGUUGUUAUGCCGCGUUCAAAACAACUGGGAACUCGGAAAAAUACGAGGUCGAUGAUCUUCAUGUGAGAAAAUCUGAUCUCUAGAAAGAGGCCCGGGUUUCCGAUUUGGAAUUCCGAGUUGGAUGACGGUUCGAAAUGAUUUUCCCAACCGUAACUCGUUUUUUAACGCCUGUAAAUCGGAGAUUUCCGAGUUCCCAGUUGAUUUGAACGCGGCAAAAACCUUUUUGUAUUUCUACAAGCUGGCAAGGCAGCAGUUACGGAAAGCACCCCAAUUGUGGCAGAGGACUGGCUCUUCUUGUUUGACUUUCUGUUGCCAACCAGGCAGAAAUGUCAUCUCAUAACGCUAGAAGAGGAUGGACAUGAGAGCUGCUGCACAGUGGAGUCCAGGUGGAGGAUGUACGAGUCAGCUUGAUUGACAUGACACACCGAGUGUUGUGGCAGUGGUGUCAUGUCUCCAGUGAUAUGGAUGGUUACCUGGUUACUACAGGCACAUUCAGCUAUGUGUGAUUUGCCUGCUCCAGUCAAUGUGACUCUCUCCUCCAGACAUUUUGUCCACCAGCUGAGGUGGGACCCAGGCUCGGGGUCCCCCAGGAACGUGUCCUACCGCGUGAUGAUUUUCUCUAGCAGGGGUGGCCAGUCUUGGGAGGUGGUGGCUGGCUGUGAGCACGUGGAGUCCCCUCUGGUGUGUAACCUGACUAAAGCAUUCUCAAGCCGCAGUCAAACCUACUACAACAGGGUGUUCGCUGUGUCUGGGAACGAAGUCUCACCCCCGGGCAACCAAAUCGGCUUUAAACCCAUCGAUGGCACCCUCCUGGACCCGCCCGUGGUGAGUGUUAAGGCCUGCGGCAGCACUCUGUGUGUGAACCUGAGGCCUCCUGUGGACGGCUUGUGGGAUGUCUACGACAGUUUCCGCUACAGUUUAAGCAUCAGAAGCAGCAGGCAUGGAGCUAAGUACUCUGAGGAGAUGACGUCUCUGAAAGAAAAGGUUCUAAAUAACCUGGCUCCAGGCAGAGAGUACUGUGUCUCCGUCAGAAUAAGGGACAGCGAGGAGAGAAGCAACAAGAACUCUUCCUACAGCCAACCACACUGUGCCUUCACAGCUGCCAAGUACAACGCAGACGCAGAGAUCUCAGUGGUUUUGUGUUUGCUUGUGUUGUCUGGCCUGUUAACUACCACCCUACUGUUCCACACUGGAUUCAUCUGUCUGAGACGACACCUUCCAGAAGUACUGAGCUCAAUACAACACCACGAGGAGAGCCUAUACCUAGUGCCCUGUGAUGAGAAACCAUGUCCCUCGGUGCUUCCAGUGCCACCAUCGCCCCCUUCAGGAAGCACUGGGAAGGACACAGAGAGUGAGGAAGAAAGCGAGGCAGAGACAGAGCGAAGCAUUGGGAUAGGACAAGGAUACAAGACACGAGGGAUCACUGCUGGUCUGACCUCUCAUAACCCCCUCUCUUCCUCCUCUUCCUCUAGAGCAGAGGUGUUCCUACACCCCUAUCUAAGCACACGCUCUCUGGCAUAUCCCACUGCCACAGACACUCAGACCACCGCUGAGACGCAGUCCAACCGCCCUCACGUUCCUCUCUUCAUAACCAGCGACCAGCAGCCUGAAUCUCUGGUCAGACCUGACGGCCUCUCAAUGUCUCUAUCAAACAACCAUCCACCGUCUGGACCGUCACAAACCAGUCAGCUUACAGAGCCAGCUCAAUGUGCCUCACGGGGACAAGACUUGAGCUUCAGUCUUUCCUCAGAGAGGGACACAGGGAAUGCAGGGGGAUUACAUCCGGAGGAGGAGGAGAGCUGCCUGGAUGUCAACCUGCUUUCUGUAACCCUAGGUAGACAUGAGGAGAGGAAGGAUCCAGAACACCGCUCUCUGGGGGAGCCCCCUGAGCCCACCACUCCCUUCCUGCCCUCUGACACCAAGUUUUGGGCCACAGAGCCUGCCAUAACACAGACGCACACUGCUACCUCUGAGGAGGAGGAAGAUGAGGAGUAUUUUGGUUACAUGAGGCGAUGAGAGAAGUAAUUUGUUGCACAAUUAACCAUUCCAUUUAUUUUUUUUUGCCAGGAGUUUUUUUUUUAUUUGUUAAUGAAAGCCAUAUGGUGCCUGUGGACAUUGUGUACUCUUCUGGCAUAAAUAUCAAGGUCCCAAGGUAGCCUGAAGUGGCUUCCUGUGGACAUUCAGUGUACUCUUCUGGCAUAAAUAUCAAGGUCUCAAGGUAGCCUGAAGUGGCUUCCUUGUCCUUCCUUUAUUUUUGUUAUAACAUUUAACUAGGCAAGUCAGUUAAGAACAAAUUCUAAUUUACAAUGACCGUCUACCGGGGAACAGUGGGUUAACUGCCUUGUUCAGGGGAACAGUGGGUUAACUGCCUUGUUCAGGGGAACAGUGGGUUAACUGCCUUGUUCAGGGGAACAGUGGGUUAACUGCCUUGUUCAGGGGAACAGUGGGUUAACUGCCUUGUUCAGGGGAACAGUGGGUUAACUGCCUUGUUCAGGGGAACAGUGGGUUAACUGCCUUGUUCAGGGACAGAAUGACAGAAUGUUACCUUGUCAGCUCGGGGAUUCGAUCCAGCAACCUUUCGGUUACUAGUCCAACGCUCUAACCACUGGGCUACCGACUGCUCCUUUAUCUGCAUUAGGUGAAAAUAACUGUUUAUCUCUCCACCAUAUUGCUUAGACUUUUCUUGUAUUUUCAGACCAGUUCAAAUUUAAAAGAGAAGAGCCAAUGUAUUUGCCUGACUACCCAGACUCCUUGCUCCGGCCAUACGCUACGACACGCCCACGGACGUUAGUUUCUCCUCCGCAAUGAGUCUGGAUCCGAGUACCUCCCCGACGAUUUCUAGAAUGCAAACACUUUCUAACCAUUCUGAUUGGUCCCAGAAACUGAUGGAUUGGACCAGAGCCAGAACGAACACGUGGAUAAAGCGCCGUUUUAAAAAAUGUGUCAUUGGGUUUUUGAUACUCUGAUUGGUCAGAAAUGAUCCAAUCGCUGAUGACUUUUUGUACAACACCCCCUCCUUUUGAUGUCAGUUUGACUGAAGUAUGUAGCGAACGACAGAACAGCGGAAGUAUUUAGUUUGAGUCGUCGGCCAACCAAUAGUAUUGAUAUGGACUGUACUAUAUUAUUGCAGUUUUUUAAAGUAUUUAGACAUAUAGAAUUGUUUUUUUUUACAUCAUUAAAUUGUUAGUUUUUCCCAAUUGCUAAAACACAAUUUUGCAAACUAGGCUGAUUUUAUCCAAAUACUAAACACAAUUCACAAAACCACACAGCCAAACUGCAAAAUGAAGCACUGCAACCAACUACAUAUAUCAAAAUCAAACAGUAGCACCAAACGGCCCAAACUUCAUUCAUAUUACCAGAUUUAUGUCUAACCAACUACACACACUUCAUU